UACGGAGGGUGCAAGCGUCAAUCGGAAUUACUGGGCGUAAAGCGUGCGUAGGUGGUUCGUUAAGUCCGUUGUGAAAGCCCCGAGCUCAACCUGGGAAUUGCAGUGGAUACUGGCGAGCUGGAGUGCGGUAGAGGAAGGUGGAAUUCCCGGUGUAGCGGUGAAAUGCGUAGAGAUCGGGAGGAACACCAGUGGCGAAGGCGGCCUUCUGGACCAGCACUGACACUCAAGCACGAAAGCGUGGGGAGCAAACAGG
rnacentral:rRNA from 1 species